UACAGAGGGGGCAAGCGUUAUUCGGAAUUAUUGGGCGUAAAGGGCGCGUAGGCGGGAUGCAAGUCGGUCGUGAAAUCCUUCGGCUCAACCGAAGAACGUCGGCCGAUACUGCCGUUCUUGAGGGAUGCAGAGGAGAUUGGAAUUCCCGGUGUAGCGGUGAAAUGUGUAGAGAUCGGGAGGAACACCGGUGGCGAAGGCGGGUCUCUGGACAGUUCCUGACGCUGAGGCACGAAGGUCAGGGGAGCAAACGGGG
rnacentral:rRNA from 1 species